rnacentral:rRNA from 1 species
CCUACGGGAGGCAGCAGUAAGGAAUAUUGGUCAAUGGGCGGAAGCCUGAACCAGCCAUGCCGCGUGCAGGAAGACGGCCCUACGGGUUGUAAACUGCUUUUAUACGGGAAUAAACCUCGAUACGUGUAUCGAGCUGAAUGUACUGUGAGAAUAAGGAUCGGCUAACUCCGUGCCAGCAGCCGCGGUAAUACGGAGGAUCCAAGCGUUAUCCGGAUUUAUUGGGUUUAAAGGGUGCGUAGGUGGCCUGUUAAGUCAGGGGUGAAAGACGGUAGCUUAACUAUCGCAGUGCCCUUGAUACUGAUGGGCUUGAAUAAACUAGAGGUAGGCGGAAUGUGACAAGUAGCGGUGAAAUGCAUAGAUAUGUCACAGAACACCAAUUGCGAAGGCAGCUUACUAUGGUUUUAUUGACACUGAGGCACGAAAGCGUGGGGAUCAAACAGGAUUAGAUACCCUGGUAGUCCACGCCUAAACGAUGAAUACUCGAUGUUGGCGAUAUACGGUCAGCGUCUAAGCGAAAGCGUUAAGUAUUCCACCUGGGAGUACGCCCGCAAGGUGAAACUCAAAGGAAUUGACGGCGNGAGAGAGACGACGACGACGACGAGGAGGAGG